AUUGAACGCUGGCGGCAGGCCUAACACAUGCAAGUCGAGUGAGCGGCGGACGGGUGAGUAAUGUCUGGGAAACUGCCUGAUGGAGGGGGAUAACUACUGGAAACGGUAGCUAAUACCGCAUCCCAUCAGAUGUGCCCAGAUGGGAUUAGCUGGUAGGUGGGGUAACGGCUCACCGAGGCGACGAGCCCUAGCUGGUCUGAGAGGAGGACCAGCCACAAGGGAACUGAGACACGGUCCAGACUCCGACGGGAGGCAGGAGUGGGGAAUAUUGCACAAUGGGCGCAAGCCUGAUGCAGCCAGGCCGCGUGGGUGAAGAAGGCCUUCGGGUUGUAAAGCACUUUCAGCGGGGAGGCGUUACCCGCAGAAGAAGCACCGGCUAACUCCGUGCCAGCCGCCGCGGUAAUUC
rnacentral:rRNA from 1 species